rnacentral:rRNA from 1 species
CCUACGGGUGGCAGCAGUGGGGAAUAUUGCACAAUGGGGGAAACCCUGAUGCAGCGACGCCGCGUGAGUGAAGAAGUAUUUCUGUAUGUUAAGCUCUAUCUGCAGGGAAGAUAAUGACGGUACCUGACUAAGAAGCCCCGUCUAACUACGUGCCAGCAGCCGCGGUAAUACGUAGGGGGCCAGCGUUAUCCGGAUUUACUGGGGGUAAAGGGUGCGUAGGUGGCUGGGCAAGUCAGAUGUGAAAGCUCUGGGCUCAAACCCGGUACUGCAUUUGAAACUGUCCAGCUGGAGUGCAGGAGAGGUAAGCGGAAUUCCUAGGGUAGCGGUGAAAUGCGUAGAUAUUAGGAGGAACACCAGUGGCGAAGGCGGCUUACUGGACUGUAACUGACACUGAGGCACGAAAGCGUGGGGAGCAAACAGGAUUAGAUACCCUUGUAGUC